GAUGAACGCUGGCGGCGUGCCUAAUACAUGCAAGUCGAGCGAACGGACGAGAAGCUUGCUUCUCUGAUGUUAGCGGCGGACGGGUGAGUAACACGUGGAUAACCUACCUAUAAGACUGGGAUAACUUCGGGAAACCGGAGCUAAUACCGGAUAAUAUUUUGAACCGCAUGGUUCAAAAGUAAAAGACGGUCUUGCUGUCACUUAUAGAUGGAUCCGCGCUGCAUUAGCUAGUUGGUAAGGUAACGGCUUACCAAGGCAACGAUGCAUAGCCGACCUGAGAGGGUGAUCGGCCACACUGGAACUGAGACACGGUCCAGACUCCUACGGGAGGCAGCAGUAGGGAAUCUUCCGCAAGGGGCGAAAGCCUGACGGAGCAACGCCGCGUGAGUGAUGAAGGUCUUCGGAUCGUAAAACGCUGUUAUUAGGGAAGAACAUAUGUGUAAGUAACUGUGCACAUCUUGACGGUACCUAAUCAGAAAGCCACGGCUAACUACGU
rnacentral:rRNA from 1 species